rnacentral:tRNA from 1 species
GAGAGUAUAGCUCAGUGGUAGAGCAUCUGCUUAAUAUGCAUGAGGUCCUGGGUUCAAUCCCCAGUACUUCCA